GACGAACGCUGGCGGCGUGCCUAAUACAUGCAAGUCGAACGCAGUGGGGACGGGUGAGUAACACGUGGGUAACCUCCCAUCAGAGGGGAUAACACUUGGAAACAGGUGCUAAACCGAUACUGAUGGAUGUACCCGCGGUGCAUUAGCUAGUUGGUGAGGUAACGGCUCAUCAAGGCCACGAUGCAUAGCCAACCUAAGAGGGUGAUCGGCAACACUGGGACGGAGACACGGCCCAGACUCCUACGGGAGGCAGCAGUAGGGAAUCUGCGGCAAUGGACGAAAGUCUGACCGAGCAACGCCGCGAGAGUGAAGAAAGUUUUCGGAUCGUAAAACUCUGUUGUUAGAGAAGCGGUAUCUAACCAGAAAGUCACGGCUAACUACGUGCCAGCAGCCGCGGUAAUUC
rnacentral:rRNA from 1 species